rnacentral:snRNA from 1 species
AUACUUACCUUGUUGGGGUCACUCUGAUCAAGAAGAGAGUCGACCAUCCGGGAUCUCCUGCAUUGCACAGCGCGGAGAGGUCUCGGGUUGAAUCUCCUUCGGGGGCUUCACCGGCGGAAUUUUUGUUGGUCUGCUUGCGAUUGCAAUGCAAU